UACCAAUGACUUGUAGGAAGAUUUUUGAGGU
rnacentral:piRNA from 1 species